rnacentral:rRNA from 1 species
CCUACGGGGGGCAGCAGUGAGGAAUAUUGGUCAAUGGGCUUACGCCUGAACCAGCCAAGUCGCGUGAGGGAAGACUGCCCUAUGGGUUGUAAACCUCUUUUGUCAGGGAGCAAUUGGCGCUACGUGUAGCGUUAUCGAGAGUACCUGAAGAAAAAGCAUCGGCUAACUCCGUGCCAGCAGCCGCGGUAAUACGGAGGAUGCGAGCGUUAACCGGAUUUAUUUGGUUUAAAGGGUGCGUAGGCGGAAUGCCAAGUCAGCGGUAAAAUCGCGGGGCUCAACCUCGCUCCGCCGUUGAAACUGGCGUUCUUGAGUGGGCGAGUAGUAUGCGGAAUGCGUGGUGUAGCGGUGAAAUGCAUAGAUAUUAGGAGGAACACCAGUGGCGAAGGCGGUCUGCUGGACAGCAACUGACGCUGAGGCGCGAAAGCGUGGGGAGCAAACAGGAUUAGAUACCCGAGUAGUC